rnacentral:rRNA from 1 species
CCUACGGGUGGCAGCAGUGAGGAAUAUUGGUCAAUGGACGCAAGUCUGAACCAGCCAUGCCGCGUGCAGGAAGACGGCUCUCUGAGUUGUAAACUGCUUUUGUACGAGGGUAAACGCAGAUACGCGUAUCUGUCUGAAAGUAUCGUCCGAAUAAGGAUCGGCAAACUCCGUGCCAGCAGCCGCGGUAAUACGGAGGAUUCAAUCGUUCUACGGAUUUAGUGGUGUAAAGGGGUGCGUAGGCGGUCGGAAAAGUUAGAGGUGAACUCCCGCGGCUCAACUUGGGAAUUUCUUCUGGUACGUUUCGGCUAGAGAGUAGAGGCGGUAGGCGGAA